rnacentral:rRNA from 1 species
UACGUAGGGGGCAAGCGUUGUCCGGAAUCAUUGGGCGUAAAGAGCGUGUAGGCGGUUCGGUAAGUCGGCUGUGAAAGUCCAGGGCCCAACCCUGGGAUGCCGGUCGAUACUGCCGGACUAGAGUUCGGAAGAGGCGAGUGGAAUUCCCGGUGUAGCGGUGAAAUGCGCAGAUAUCGGGAGGAACACCUAUGGCGAAGGCAGCUCGCUGGGACGUUACUGACGCUGAGACGCGAAAGCGUGGGGAGCAAACAGG